CAACAGGGAUUGCCUCAGUAACGGCGAGUGAAGCGGCAACAGCUCAAAUUUGAAAUCUGAAGUUUACUUCCGAGUUGUAAUUUGAAGAGGAUGCAUUCGGUUGUAGCUCCGGCCUAAGUUCCUUGGAACAGGACGUCGCAGAGGGUGAGAAUCCCGUACGCGGCUGGCGGCUCACUUCCAUGUGUAGCUCCUUCGAAGAGUCGAGUUGUUUGGGAAUGCAGCUCUAAAUGGGUGGUAAAUUUCAUCUAAAGCUAAAUACUGGCGAGAGACCGAUAGCGCACAAGUAGAGUGAUCGAAAGAUGAAAAGCACUUUGAAAAGAGAGUUAAACAGUACGUGAAAUUGUUGAAAGGGAAGCGCUUGCAAUCAGACUUGCUCUCUGUUGAUCAACGUUCCUUUUGGUUCGUGCACUCUGCAGUUUGCAGGCCAGCAUCAGUUGCGGCGGCGGGACAAAGACUUUGGGAAUGUGGCUGCCUUCGGGCAGUGUUAUAGCCCUUUGUGUAAUGCCGCCUGCCGCGAUUGAGGACCGCGCUUCGGCUAGGAUGCUGGCUUAAUGGUUGUAAGCGACCCGUCUUGAAACACGGACCAAGGAGUCUAACAUCUAUGCGAGUGUUUGGGUGUUAAACCCAUACGCGUAAUGAAAGUGAACGGAGGUGGGAGUCUUCGGAUGCACCAUCGACCGAUCCUGAUGUUUUCGGAUGGAUUUGAGUAUGAGCAUAGCUGUUGGGACCCGAAAGAUGGUGAACUAUGCCUGAAUAGGGUGAAGCCAGAGGAAACUCUGGUGGAGGCUCGCAGCGGUUCUGACGUGCAAAUCGAUCGUCAAAUUUGGGUAUAGGGGCGAAAGACUAAUCGAACCAUCUAGUAGCUGGUUCCUGCCGAAGUUUCCCUCAGGAUA
rnacentral:rRNA from 1 species